rnacentral:rRNA from 1 species
UGGGGAAUUUUGGACAAUGGGCGAAAGCCUGAUCCAGCCAUGCCGCGUGAGUGAAGAAGGCCUUCGGGUUGUAAAGCUCUUUUAGUCGGAAAGAAAGAGUUGCAAUGAAUAAUUGUGAUUUAUGACGGUACCGACAGAAAAAGCACCGGCUAACUACGUGCCAGCAGCCGCGGUAAUACGUAGGGUGCGAGCGUUAAUCGGAAUUACUGGGCGUAAAGGGUGCGCAGGCGGUCUUGCAAGUCAGAUGUGAAAGCCUCGGGCUUAACCUGGGAAUUGCGUUUGAAACUACAAGGCUAGAGUGCAGCAGAGGGGAGUGGAAUUCCAUGUGUAGCAGUGAAAUGCGUAGAGAUGUGGAAGAACACCGAUGGCGAAGGCAGCUCCCUGGGUUGACACUGACGCUCAUGCACGAAAGCGUGGGGAGCAAACA